rnacentral:rRNA from 1 species
AUGAACGCUGGCGGCGUGCCUAAUACAUGCAAGUCGAGCGAACGGACGAGAAGCUUGCUUCUCUGAUGUUAGCGGCGGACAGGUGAGUAACACGUGGAUAACCUACCUAUAAGACUGGGAUAACUUCGGGAAACCGGAGCUAAUACCGGAUAAUAUUUUGAACCGCAUGGUUCAAAAGUGAAAGACGGUCUUGCUGUCACUUAUAGAUGGAUCCGCGCUGCAUUAGCUAGUUGGUAAGGUAACGGCUUACCAAGGCAACGAUGCAUAGCCGACCUGAGAGGGUGAUCGGCCACACUGGAACUGAGACACGGUCCAGACUCCUACGGGAGGCAGCAGUAGGGAAUCUUCCGCAAUGGGCGAAAGCCUGACGGAGCAACGCCGCGUGAGUGAUGAAGGUCUUCGGAUCGUAAAACUCUGUUAUUAGGGAAGAACAUAUGUGUAAGUAACUGUGCACAUCUUGACGGUACCUAAUCAGAAAGCCACGGCUAACUACGUG